UGCGGAAGCGGAGUCGACGGGGGAGCCGCAGCCGUUGAUCCCGCGCCGUGAGGACGGGAGGAGAUUUUGAUUCUACCUAGAGAAGGCUAAAACAGCAAUCACUUCUCUGUUUUAUCUACUUCCCCUCCCUCAAACUUGUGGAAUAUGAACGAAAUGGGACCUGGAUGGA